AUUCUUUAUUCAUUCAGCAAAUAUUUAUGGACUGCCUACAAGAUAAUAAGCAAAGUAGACAAAAAAAUCCCCACCUUCAUGGACUUUAUAUUCUGUUGAAGGGGACAGACAAUAAAUAGAGUUAAUAUGUAAACUAAAUAGGAUUAUCAGAAGAAAAAAGUAAAGGGGAGAAGGAAACAAAUAUGAACCAUCGGGGGGCAGUAGAAAUUUUACAUAGGGUUGCUGGGGAAGACCUUACACAAUCGAGAUAUUUGAGGAGAGGCUGGAAGGGAAUGAGGAAUAUAUUCAUGGAGAUAUUUGGGGAAGAAGGAACUGAAAUUACUAUGUCCCUAAGCUUGGUGUAUGUCUGUGGAUUUAGAAUAAUUAAAAGACCUGAGCAGAGAGAACACAGGGGAGAGUAGUAGGGAGAAAGAAUCAGAGAGAUAACGGGAAACCAGGUCAUGCAGAAUCUUAUAGGACUUAUAAGCCAUCUAAGGACUUUGGCUUGGACUCUGAGUGAGCUGAGGCUGUAUAGGAGAGUUUUAAGCAGAGGAGAGACAUGAUCUGAUGUACCUACAAGGACCCUUAAUUCUAUCAGACUAGCCUUCUCUGAGCCUUGGUGUCACAGUGAUUAAGAGUUUGGCUGCUAUCCAAAAAGUCAGCAUUUGAAUCCACCAGCUGCUUCUUGGAACCCUAUGGGGCAGUUAUACUUUGUCCUAUAGGGUCAAUAUGAGUCCAAGUUGACUUGAUGGCAACAAAUUUGGUUUUGGUUUGGUCUUUUCUAGCUCCCCCACAGGCUUGUUUGGACGUCUGUGCUGCUACCCAUGUUCCUUCUUUCAUUUUUCAUUUUCACCCAUGUUGUUCCUUCUUUCAUCUUCCCUUUUCACCCAUGUUGUUCCUUCUUUCACUUUUCCCUUUCACUCAUGUGAUUCCUUCUUUCAGUUUUUCCCUUUCUGUGACUUCCCCAUGCUUCAAGCCUCUAUGACCUAGCUUAAGAAUCACCUUCCUCAAGAUGUGCCCCAGUACCUGUAGAUCCUGAGGUGGCCUUCUUCCAGUGAUAUGUCCUCCACAUCGUAAGUCAUUGGACCUGUCUUUACAUUUUAUUCAGUAUUUAUCCUUCCUUAUCUUCUAAGUGUGCUCCACUCAUGAGUCUUACCUUGUCAUUGCUACUGUAAUAUCUGAAAACAGGAACAGAACCUCUUUCUUAUCAGUUAGCCACCAAGUGUUUAUUAGGCAUCUACAUCUGCCAAUGGAGUUCAUUCAUUCAUGCAAUAAACACAUCCCCAAUGAUAGUUUUUGUAAGCAGUGUGCUGAGUGUAGGGGUUACAGAUGUAAAUAAGACAGAGUACUUGCCAUGAAAGUGCUUGCAGAAGCCUACACAAACAAUCUUGAAUUAAUGUGGAUGAGCAGUGAAAGUAAAUGGCAGGGAUUUUAUGAGAACUCCAAAGAGGUACAUUAUCUAGUCAGAGGUGGAUCCAAGAAGAGAGCAUUUCAGUGGAGAGAAAAUCGUGGAGUCAAGAAACAGAAUUCUCUGUGGGUGGACUAUCAGCAGUGUGUUGUGGCUGGAGUACAUAGUGCAACACAGAGAGGAAAGAAGAAUUGGAGAGAAGCAGAGAGAUUUCCUAGAAGAAAGAAAAAAAAAAGACAAAAUUCACUCAAGUGAUCUUGGGAGAAGAUACCUUUUCAGCUGGGGAUGGAGAAAUUCGUAAUUUAUGGAUCUUCUCAGGAUGAAGAUUAAGCACUUUAGGAAGAAUCUCUGUUCUUUACAUCUAAGCUGCCUUGAAAAGAAUAAAGAAUAAGACACUAAGGCCUCUCCGGUUGUAAAAUCUUAAAUUGAAGACAAUCCAGUAACAGCUUGUCUUUGCCUGACUGCUAUAACUUAGUCUUGCAUAAUACUUCCUUUGAUAAAGCCAAAUCUCUUGUUGCAAAAUGAGCCCACAUCAAGCCUUCUAAUGUUAAUAAAUGACCAUUGUCUCUCUGAUGCCCCCGUGCUUACACUGAGCAAAGAGGAUGAGGAAAAGUCUGGGUUCCAAUGUCCCAUUCUAUUCCCAGAAUGAAAGGAUUUAUGAAGAAUCUAUUCUCAGGUGCAGUUGAAUUGACUCUGACUCAUGGCUACUCUAUGCACAACAGAAUAAAAUGUUGCCUGAUCCUAUGCUGCCUUCACAAUCGUUGGUGUGUUCAAGUCCCUUGCUGUGACUAACGUGUAAGCCUGGAAGCUAUGCCACCGGUAUUUCAAAUACCAGCAGGGUUAUCUGUAAUGGAGCUUCCAGACUCAGACUAAGAGGGGAGGCCUGGUGAUCUACCUCAAAAAUUAGCCUAUGAACACCCUAUGUAUAAUAACAGAACAUGGUUUAUCGCUUCUUUAAUUUAGGGUUUCUUUAGCUUCCCUCAGUGAUUUUUUUUAUAGUUUUUCGAGUAAAGGCGUUUUACACGUUUGUUAAAUUUAUUGAUAUUUGUUGUUUUUUAUGUAUUUUUAAUGAUAAUCCAUUACAUUUAUUUUUCUAAAUGUUUGUUAAUGGAAAAUUUGAAAAAAAAUCAUCUGGUGACAUUGUAUCAGAGAUCUUGUUAAAUACAUUUAUUAAUUUAAAAGCUUAUAAGUAGAUUAUUUUAAAUUUCUACAUAAUGUAUCAGGUUUCCUAUAAAUAAUAUUUAUAUUUUUCCUUCCUUUGCAUUGAUUCUAUGUGUAUGUGUUAUAUUUGCCUUUGCCUCAAUGCAUUGACUGGGUCCUC